rnacentral:rRNA from 1 species
UUCGGCCUAUUAGAUACCCUGGUAGUCCACACAGUACACGAUGAAUACUCGCUGUUGGCGAUACAAUGUCAAGGGCCAAGCGAAAGCAUUAAGUAUUCCACCUGGGGAGUACGCCGGCAACGGUGAAACUCAAAGGAAUUGACGGGGGCCCGCACAAGCGGAGGAACAUGUGGUUUAAUUCGAUGAUACGCGAGGAACCUUACCCGGGCUUAAAUUGCAACUGACGGACUUGGAAACAGGUCUUUCUUCGGACAGUUGUGAAGGUGCUGCAUGGUUGUCGUCAGCUCGUGCCGUGAGGUGUCGGCUUAAGUGCCAUAACGAGCGCAACCCUUACCGACAGUUACCAUCAGGUAACGCUGGGGACUCUGUCGGGACUGCCGUCGUAAGAUGUGAGGAAGGUGGGGAUGACGUCAAAUCAGCACGGCCCUUACGUCCGGGGCUACACACGUGUUACAAUGGGGGGUACAGAAGGCAGCUACACGGCGACGUGAUGCUAAUCCCAAAAGCCUCUCUCAGUUCGGAUUGGAGUCUGCAACCCGACUCCAUGAAGCUGGAUUCGCUAGUAAUCGCGCAUCAGCCACGGCGCGGUGAAUACGUUCCCGGGCCUUGUACACACCGCCCGUCAAGCCAUGAAAGCCGGGGGUACCUGAAGUGCGUAACCGCAAGGAGCGCCCUAGGGUAAAACUGGUGAUUGGGGCUAAGUCGUAACAAGG